rnacentral:rRNA from 1 species
GACGAACGCUGGCGGCGUGCCUAAUACAUGCCAGUAGAACGCACAGUUUAUACCGUAGCUUGCUACACCAUAGACUGUGAGUUGCGAACGGGUGAGUAACGCGUAGGUAACCUGCCUGGUAGCGGGGGAUAACUAUUGGAAACGAUAGCUAAUACCGCAUAAUAUUGAUUAUUGCAUGAUAAUUGAUUGAAAGAUGCUAUUGCAUCACUACCAGAUGGACCUGCGUUGUAUUAGCUAGUAGGUGAGGUAACGGCUCACCUAGGCGACGAUACAUAGCCGACCUGAGAGGGUGAUCGGCCACACUGGGACUGAGACACGGCCCAGACUCCUACGGGAGGCAGCAGGAGGGAAUCUUCGGCAAUGGACGAAAGGCUGACCGAGCAACGCCGCGUGAGUGAAGAAGGGUUUCGGAUCGUAAAGCUCUGUUGUAAGAGAAGAACGGGGGUGAGAGUGGAAAGUUCACACUGUGACGGUAUCUUACCAGAAAGGGACGGCUAACUACGUG